AACGAACGGCUGGUAGCGUGGAUUAGGCAUGCAAGUCGAACGGGAUCACCGAUAUAGUAAUAUUGAGGUGUGAGAGUGGCGGAUUGGGGAGGAACACGUGAGCAACCUGCCUUGGAGUCGGGGAAAACCGUUGGAAACGACGGCUAAUACCGGAUGUGGCGCCCGAUGACAUCAUCGGAGCGCUAAAGGGGGCCGCAAGGCUCUCGCUCCUAGAGGGGCUCGCGCACCAUCAGCUUGUUGGCGGGUAACGGCCCACCAAGGCCUACGGUUAGCUGGUCUGAGAGGAUGACCAGCCCCCACUGGGACUGAGAUACUGCCCAGACUCCUACGGGAGGCUGCAGUCGAGGAUCAUUUGCAAUGGGCGAAAGCCUGACAAUGCGACGCUGCGUGGAGGAAUGAAGGCCUUCGGGUUGUAAACUCCUGUCAUGGGGGAACAGGCGAGGGGAGUUAAUACCUCCCUUAGUUGAGUGUACCCCAAGAGGAAUUGGCGGCUAACUCUGUGCCAGCAGCUGC
rnacentral:rRNA from 1 species